rnacentral:rRNA from 1 species
GAUGAACGCUGGCGGCGUGCCUAAUACAUGCAAGUCGAGCGAACAGAUGAGGAGCUUGCUCCUCUGACGUUAGCGGCGGACGGGUGAGUAACACGUGGAUAACCUACCUAUAAGACUGGGAUAACUUCGGGAAACCGGAGCUAAUACCGGAUAAUAUAUUGAACCGCAUGGUUCAAUAGUGAAAGACGGUUUUGCUGUCACUUAUAGAUGGAUCCGCGCCGUAUUAGCUAGUUGGUAAGGUAACGGCUUACCAAGGCGACGAUGCGUAGCCGACCUGAGAGGGUGAUCGGCCACACUGGAACUGAGACACGGUCCAGACUCCUACGGGAGGCAGCAGUAGGGAAUCUUCCGCAAUGGGCGAAAGCCUGACGGAGCAACGCCGCGUGAGUGAUGAAGGUCUUCGGAUCGUAAAACUCUGUUAUUAGGGAAGAACAAAUGUGUAAGUAACUAUGCACGUCUUGACGGUACCUAAUCAGAAAGCCACGGCUAACUACGUG